UACGAAGGGGGCUAGCGUUGCUCGGAAUUACUGGGCGUAAAGCGCACGUAGGCGGCUUCUUAAGUCGGUGGUGAAAUCCUGGAGCUCAACUCCAGAACUGCCUUCGAUACUGGGAGCUCGAGUCCGGGAGAGGUGAGUGGAACUGCGAGUGUAGAGGUGAAAUUCGUAGAUAUUCGCAAGAACACCAGUGGCGGAAGGCGGCUCACUGGCCCGGUACUGACGCUGAGGUGGCGAAAGCGUGGGGAGCAAACAGG
rnacentral:rRNA from 1 species